ACCACUCGUAUUGUUCUUUACCUUUCUCUUUCAGAGACAGCAUUUUAGGGGAAUCAUAAUCCGGCUGAGCUAUAGGCCGGAGAGCCGGGCUCGUUACAACAAUACCAAGAGACCAAGAGAGAUGUUAUUGCUUAUGUGUGCAACCCUGCUAAGCACCAAACAAAUCAUAAACGGACGUCGCUUCUGUAUUGGAACAUAAGAUGAUAAAACAUUUUAGGAAUGAGUCCUGUUAUCUAUUCCGUUUUCUUUUUUACCUUUUGUGGAAUCUUUAAAAGCCCAUGUUGUCAAACGAACGGUCUUCUUUUGGAUAACAGCCUUCACAUCAGCGAUAUCCAGAUUGGAGUUCUGGUGAGAAUCGGUCGCCAUUUGAUUUCCGUUUUCGGAAGUGAGGAGUUCCGGUCCCACGAAUAUCCAGCAUUUUCAUUGGUCCCUUGAGUGGGAUCGUCCCCAAGAAAAAGUUGUUAUGAAUAUAAUUCCUUUUACUUUUAUUUAUUAUAUUUAUA